AAUUUUCAUGCUCAGAUUCUCUGCUGUAACUGCCACAAUUGUAAGUUUUCCCUUAGCAAACAAUGCAUGCCUAAUCUCAUUCUUUAAGCCAUGAUCAAGACUAAGACAUAAUCCAGUGGGGAGUUUAGUAAGAGUUAUAAGCAAUGGAAAGUGACUGGGAAUAGGCAUUUAUGAUGGGAUGUUUCACGAAACAGAUGGCAAAUAUUUCUUAUGGUUGAAAAUACAAACGUGGUUCAAAAGGGCAUUCCUUCUUUAGGGAGAAUUCAGAGUCAGUGCUUUAGAUUGUUACCAAAUGUUUGUGUUAAUUCGCACAAAUUAGCUGAAAAUGUGGUUUCAUUCCCAGAGCUUGUUUUGCUUUUAAUUAGUCUAACACUGUUAGCAAUUAUCAAAUAUGAUCUUGGUGAUUAGGAAGAAACUAGAGGUUCUUCUGAGUUCCAUGCAUCUCUUGCAAAAACAAACAAACAAACAAACAUACAAAAAACCCCAAAACAAAACAAAACAAAACAAAAAACCCCAAACCAAAACUGAUUCUUAGAACCACUGCUAUUUAUAACAAAAAGUUACUGUUGCAGUUGCAUCCUCAAAGGGUGUUUCAGCCUCCCAGAUCAUCUAAAAGCCUAAACAUGCCUGGGACAGGAGAUAUGUUUCACAUCAUACUAUUUAUUAGAGUGAAAAAAAAAAGCUUUACAAUUUCAUAAUUGAAUGAGAGUUUCAGAUGAUCCAGUUUGACUGCAGUGAUAUUUCAUGACAGUACAUUUUGUCUGCCAACUUUCUGCCGAUCUCAGUAAUUUAUUUAUCUGUUCUGUUCCAAAAGCUGAAUUGAUUGCUCACAGUCUGUUGGUAGAGACUCUAAAAUGCACUUUAAAAAGCUGUUUGAACCAUAAGAUAUUGUUACUUUUAAUUAUGCUUUUCCAGUGUCAGGCAAUGUCACGAGAAUUCAAAGAACAUCUUAAUAGCCUUUAUUUACAGACAGUGUUACAAACAACAACAGAUUUUGUUUGAGGUACAGUAUAUCUAUCAGAUUAAUCCUUUUUGUCCUACAGAUUGAUUUGCAAAUUCAGAAUAAAUUGAACCUGGACACACU
ensembl:lncRNA